rnacentral:rRNA from 1 species
CUUAUACGACCGUACCGCAAACCGACACUGGUGCGCGAGAUGAGUAUUCUAAGGCGCUUGAGAGAACUCAGGAGAAGGAACUCGGCAAAUUGACACCGUAACUUCGGAAGAAGGUGUGCCCUAUUAGUGUGUAGUGAACAACGAAGCAUGAAUGGGUUGCAAAAAAUCGGUGGCUGCGACUGUUUAUUAAAAACACAGCACUCUGCAAACACGAAAGUGGACGUAUAGGGUGUGACGCCUGCCCGGUGCUGGAAGAUUAAAUGAUGGGGUGCAAGCUCUUGAUUGAAGUCCCAGUAAACGGCGGCCGUAACUAUAACGGUCCUAAGGUAGCGAAAUUCCUUGUCGGGUAAGUUCCGACCUGCACGAAUGGCGUAACGAUGGCCACACUGUCUCCUCCUGAGACUCAGCUAAGUUGAAACGUUUGUGAUGAUGCAAUCUCCCCGCGGAAAGACGGAAAGACCCCAUGAACCUUUACUGUAGCUUUGUAUUGGACUUUGAACAGAUCUGUGUAGGAUAGGUGGGAGGCUUUGAAGCAGGGUCGCUAGAUCUUGUGGAGCCAACGUUGAAAUACCACCCUGGUGUGUUUGAGGUUCUAACCUAGGUCCAUUAUCUGGAUCGGGGACAGUGCAUGGUAGGCAGUUUGACUGGGGCGGUCUCCUCCCAAAGCGUAACGGAGGAGUUCGAAGGUACGCUAGUUACGGUCGGACAUCGUGACGAUAGUGCAAUGGCAUAAGCGUGCUUAACUGCGAGACUGACAAGUCGAGCAGAUGCGAAAGCAGGACAUAGUGAUCCGGUGGUUCUGUAUGGAAGGGCCAUCGCUCAACGGAUAAAAGGUACUCUGGGGAUAACAGGCUGAUACUGCCCAAGAGUUCAUAUCGACGGCGGUGUUUGGCACCUCGAUGUCGGCUCAUCUCAUCCUGGGGCUGUAGCCGGUCCCGAGGGUAUGGCUGUUCGCCAUUUAAAGAGGUACGUGAGCUGGGUUUAAAACGUCGUGAGACAGUUUGGUCCCUAUCUUCCGUGGGCGCUGCAGAUUUGAGGAAGCCUGCUCCUAGUACGAGAGGACCGGAGUGGACACACCUCUGGUGUAUCGGUUGUCACGCCAGUGGCAUUGCCGAGUAGCUAAGUGUGGAAGAGAUAACCGCUGAAAGCAUCUAAGCGGGAAACUCGUUUCAAGAUGAGAUCUGCCGGGGCCUUGAGCCCCCUAAAGAGUCGUUCAAGACCAGGACGUUGAUAGGUCAGGUGUGGAAGUG